UACGUAGGGGGCAAGCGUUGUCCGGAUUUAUUGGGCGUAAAGAGCGUGUAGGCGGCUUUACAGGUCCGUUGUGAAAACUCGAGGCUCAACCUCGAGACGCCGGUGGAAACCGUAAAGCUAGAGUCCGGAAGAGGAGAGUGGAAUUCCUGGUGUAGCGGUGAAAUGCGCAGAUAUCGGGAGGAACACCGGUGGCGAAGGCGGUUCUCUGGGCCUUACCUGACGCUGAGGAGCGAAAGCGUGGGGAGCAAACAGG
rnacentral:rRNA from 1 species